CAUUCAUAAGCCGGAACGAAAAGAACUUAGGAAGAUAAUGAUUUCAAAGCGCUUUUGGCGAGUGAUGUGAUGUUGUGUUUGCAGAUUGGGCCGCCAUUGCGGACCCCCUUUUUCUUAAAUCCGUUUUGGAUAUAUUUUUCUGUCUGUCCAUAGAGAAAAGUAGCACCGCGCCUGCGGUGCUUUUUUUG
rnacentral:other from 1 species